UCGCCAUUUUUUCCCCAGUUGUUUACUUCGAAAGAAUUUACACUGCUUUGAAUUACGAAUCUAGACAGAAAAACAAAUUGACAGCCAUAUACGCUACAGGUGGAAAACAGACUUCAGACAAAAUACAGCAAGUUCGUGUUAGUGGUAUCAUGGUGAUAUUUUUUACUGUAGUGAGGAGCAAGUAGAUGAAGGGCUGACAAGAUUGUCAGAAAGAGAACAGCUAAAGGCCAUAGAAUCGCAGCUCAAAUUCAGGAAACAAGUACUAAAACAGAAAUACAAAGAUGCCAAGAUCUUCUCCUUUUCAAAGAAGAAUGAAGCUGGGAAGUACAUUAAACAUUCUCUUGCAGACUUGCGGUCAAAUCUCCUGGUUUUGAUAAAGGCAACCAUGACCAUGGUUACAACAGAGCAGCAUCAGGAAGGCAUUCCUCUCUUUGUUGGAAAGCAUAUUAGCACACUUUCCAUGAUGGUGUAUACCAAGGGUAUGAUAUUUCUGUAGUUCCAAGCUUUCCCAAAUGGUACAAUGUCAAGUAUGAACAUUAUUCAGCAGUUUAUGCAUACAACUUGUGUGAAGACUUUGAGAAGGAGGAUGUCAAAAAAGUCGUGAAACCUCACCAUCAAAGUCAGGAUGGGGGAGAUUGAUUGUGCUUUGAACAAUUGGACAUUGGCUGUACAUAUGUACAUAGAUAUUUAGUUUUUAUUACAGCUGAUAUAUUUUGCGGUAGAGGUAAUUCCAAAUUAUCAUCUUCAGUUAAAUUUUGAAUGGUCUAUCAAUUUUGUUUUCAGUUUAUUUCUUGAUCAGUUUUGUUUUCAGUUGAGGUUUCUCUUCAUUGUUUUAGCUUACCCUCUAAAAACAUUUUAUUCUGUUUGUUUGAUACUAACUUAAAUUAGGCAUGAAUAUCAGCCAAUUCACGGAAGUAUACAAAAAUCUCCGCACUCGGUGGCCUCGAACGCUCUGAUUGGUAUCCCCAUGUGCGUUUGUUACGGUUGGAGCGCGGACCACACAGCACUCGACGCCAUUGAGCGCGGAGAUUAUUUGUUUACUUCCGUGACCCACAGCCGCGACUGAAACAGGAUUUCGAUAUAAUCACUCGAUAUAGGUGAUAAAUUGCCAAAACUGAAGGUUUGUGGCAUGCAGGUCGUAUUUGGAGGGAGGUGGGGAGGUAUCGUGAACAUGACAUGCAUAUAUUUCCAUUUGAUUUAAACGAUACAGCCGAUUUCAACUUCGGCCAAGAUGGCGAGUGACGUACCUUGUCUAUUUAAAUAUAUACUGAACAACAAAAGUUCCUGUGACCUUGAAUAAGAUUUAAUGCAUAGUUGUUUUUUACCAAAUCUGAAACAAUUUCGGUUUGCAACAGAUAAAAGACUCCUGUAAGUGUUCAAAUGCUGUAAUUGCCAUACUGAUUUCAGAAAACGCGUGUUUUAUAAAAAAAAAAGCAUGAACAUGCCAAAAUGUCAAUUUACAAAUCAAUUGCGUGUGUGUCCACCUCUGGUUGA